UUGGGCCAGUCUGCCAGCCCAUCAGCGCGUGGAGAAGCGGCACUGAAGGACGUGUGGUGGGGGUGGGGGUGUACGCAAUGGUCUCGGAGGUCUUUCCCAGCCUUGAUGAUGCUAAGAUUCCAUUAAUUGUUAUGCCGCACUUUGUUUAACCCUUUAACGUGUUGUUAUUUGUAUCGUUUCAGCAGCUAAAGGGUGAAAGUGAUUUAAUACCUCCUAUUCUGAACACAGCUGAGAACAGAUGUGCCACCACCCGCAAAUGGAAGGCCAGCAGCUCCCCAGACUUCUGCAAGUAAUUCCUCAGAGGCUCAUCCUUGACCUUGGCCAAAUAUGUAUGGUGAUGACUUCAGUUGGGAGCUUCUCAACAAUCCUAAUCAGAAACCCUGAAGAAUAGCACUUGGCGUAUGUGCUGCUUUACCCAACCCCUCUGCUGACUUCGUGGUGAUCUUGGACCAACGUUGAUACUUGUUUCCCCACUAAAGGAAUCCCAAAGUCCCUAUAAAUGGUGCAGAAGAGAGACAUACUGACCAGCCUCAAGUCACAGUAAAUUUGUUUGAGCACACAGCAUUAUAGUGAGCUGCUGUCCCAGCACUGUUUAUGAUGGGCACGCACAGGUUUAAAGCAGGCUGUAGAACUCAGCCCUGGCCAUCAAAAAUGAAGAAAUCCCCUUAUAGGGGAUGGAAAGAAAAACUGAAAGCCAUCCAUGUCCUUCCAGCUCAGAGUGAGGCUGGACCCUGACUGCCAUCAUAGGCACUGCCACAUACCUCUGCUUGGACAUAGCUAAAUGAGCAUGAUAGGGUGGGCUGACAACUGGACUUAGGAAUCUUGGUGGUCUCUUCAACCUUAACAGUACCACGAUUUGGGUAAGGACGUAGUCAUGUCCUCUGCUAACCAAGUAUUUCUCUGUAAUUCCCCCUUUCUCUAUAUGAACCAAAAAAACUGCAGAAACAGCCUUGUGCAGUGCCUUCUGAACACAACUAAGAAUGCAUGGGAUAAUUGUGAGCAUGAUUAAAAUUACUAUCACGAUUACCAUUCAGUGUAUCACUAAAUCUUUCAGCCAUCCUGUAAUGCCUAAACUUGCCAGUCAUUGCUCUAAGGAGGAAUUCUCCACAACUAGCUUUUGGGAUAGCUAUUGUAGGUCUUGCAUGGCUUUAUGGAUAGAUUGUGAAUGAUCUGAAAGAUUCAUACAACACAUACUGUCAAUAUCUUCACAGCCAUGUGCUAGAAGCAAAAAAAUCUAUCGCAGCACAGUUCCGCAAUGUUGCAUGCCAUACUGAAUCUACAUUUAACAAUAAACCACUUAAGGCUAAUGAUGUUGCACUGCCUCCCCCUUUUUCUGUUUAAGUAGCUGCUCUUUUAACACUGUGUGCUUGCUCUACUAGCGACUGGCCUGUAGGUGAGUGGGGGAUCCCUGUUGUAUGGGCAACACCCAAAAGGGCCAGAACAGUUUGUGCUGCCUUACUGACAUACCUGGGCCCAUUAUCAGUUUUGAUUAAUCCAGGAAUGCCAAGUACCAUGAAAACAGAUUGAAGAUGACGUUGAACAUGGCGGCCUGUUUCACCAGUUUGUGCUGUAGCCCAUGUAGCAUGGAAAAAGAUGUCAAUACAAACACGUACAUACUUCAGCUUUCCAGACUCCGGCAUGAGUAACAUCCAUUUGCCAUAUCUGUAAGGAAUGUAAACCCCGUGGGUUAACUGUCCCCCCCACGGGUAGGCACAAUGCCCUGGCAAUCCGGGCAGGACUGGACAAUACCUUUAGCCUCCACCAGGGGUAGACCAAGCUGUUUUGCAAGAACUUUGGUGAAAGAAAUUGUGUUACGCGAAUUCAUCUGAGGGGAGCCCUGACUAAAUAGGUAUGACAAGCUAUUGACAAGCGUCAGCGCGGUCAUUACCCUUCACCAGAAUCCCUGAUAGUCCAGAAUGGCUACAAAUAUGGCAAAUGAAAUAGUCAUGCAUUUUUUGUUCAAGUACAAACCACAAAGUGCAGAACAAUGCAUAUGCUUCUUUCUGCUUACAUUCCUUAAGCACCAACCAUUCCAAUCGCUUGACCACCCCCACUACAUACAGAGAAUCAGUCGCAAUAUUCACAGGAACAUCAGUUAAUCUCUUAAAAAAAAACAAAACACUACAAGAGCCACUUGUAAUUCAAGUUGUUGCACCGAUCCUGUGCAGCAUAACGCUCUUGCCAUGAACUACUGUGCUGCCAUACAAGGGCUGCCUUUUUGGUUUGACCUCCCACAUCAGUAAACACAAAAUUAUAGAGACAUACUUGGUUAGCAGAGGACAUGACUACGUGAGUCUAGACUAAGGCCUAUGUGCUUUGGUACAAAUGCUGCUGUCUCUGGGCAGUCACAGUCUUUGACAAAGUCAGCAAGAGAAAGGAGAUGCAUAAGCAGAAAAAGAGCUGUACUAGGAAAAAGGAAAGAAGUUACAAAGCUUAGCUGAGGUUAGCUAAGAAAGCUGCCUGUUGCCAAUGAAUCAGAGAAGAAGCUUGGGUGCAUGAUCCAAGAUCCAAGAUACACCUCGUGCUAACUGCAUGCUAGAUGAUCAACUGUAGAGGCAUUGCAUGUAUUUCACACCUGCAACCAAUCAGAAGUACACUUCAUGUUAUACAAGAGUUGUAUUUUUUCCAAUAUACUGCCUCUGCUUUAACUCUA